rnacentral:rRNA from 1 species
AACGCUAGCUACAGGCUUAACACAUGCAAGUCGAGGGGUAGCAGGGUAGCAAUACCGCUGACGACCGGCGCACGGGUGAGUAACACGUAUCCAACCUUCCCAUUACUCUGGGAUAGCCUUUCGAAAGAAAGAUUAAUACCGGAUGGCACUUUUUUGAGGCAUCUCAAAACAGUUAAAGAUUUAUUGGUAAUGGAUGGGGAUGCGUUCCAUUAGAUUGUUGGUGAGGUAACGGCUCACCAAGUCUUCGAUGGAUAGGGGUUCUGAGAGGAAGGUCCCCCACAUUGGUACUGAGACACGGACCAAACUCCUACGGGAGGCAGCAGUGAGGAAUAUUGGUCAAUGGGCGAGAGCCUGAACCAGCCAAGUAGCGUGAAGGAUGAAGGUCCUAUGGAUUGUAAACUUCUUUUAUAGUAGAAUAAAGUGAGCCACGUGUGGUUUUUUGUAUGUAUACUAUGAAUAAGGAUCGGCUAACUCCGUGCCAGCAGCCGCGGUAAUACGGAGGAUCCGAGCGUUAUCCGGAUUUAUUGGGUUUAAAGGGUGCGUAGGCGGAAUAAUAAGUCAGUUGUGAAAGUUUGCGGCUCAACCGUAAAAUUGCAGUUGAUACUGGAAGUCUUGAGUACAGAUGAGGUAGGCGGAAUUCGUGGUGUAGCGGUGAAAUGCUUAGAUAUCACGAAGAACUCCGAUUG